ACUGUCUCUAGAAAAUUUAUUAUUAAAAUUAACUUUUAAGUUAAAAGGCUUAAAUUUUACUUAAAGACGAGAAGACCCUAUAGAGUUUUAUACCUAUAAUUAUAAUGAGUACUUGGUUAUUUUAUUUUCUUGUAUGAUUAGGUAUUUGGUUGGGGUGACUUAAAGAUUAAAUAAACUCUUUAAAUUUAUAAUCAUUGAUUUGUGAAUUUAUAAUCUAAUUUUUUAAAGUUAAAAUAAAUUACCUUAGGGAUAACAGCGUAAUUUCUUUUUAGAGUUCUUAUUGAAAGAGAAGU
rnacentral:rRNA from 1 species